GGGAAAUCAAGCCGACCAAGCUUAGACAGGAUUAGCUUUAAAUAUUUAUCCUGUAGUAGGAAACUUUUUCUGGAAUGUGCAUUUCAGGAACUAUUUAUUGGCAUCCAGUCAUUGAGCUCUGGAGAUUUCCUGGCUAUUUCAAGGCACCUUUGUGGACAUCUUCCUCCUUUCUCCAGGUCUUUGCUGAUAUCAGGAAGGUGUCCAGGAAUGGACAAGAGCUGUCCAGACUCCUGUGGCUGGCUGCUGUUGUGUCAAAGGAUAACCCAGAUGUGCCCUUCUUCAAAUUUGGAACCAAUUCAAUGAAGUACUUUACUUGAAAUGGAAACUGCUGUUGAAAUAGAAACAGAGCACAACACAGUGUAAUAAACCUUAUUAGUAUUUUACCUCGUUCAGUUAACUUUUCCAGGAGGGUGCACAAAGUUUUGAUUAAUGAAAAGAUUAUCCAUGUGUUACUUUC
rnacentral:lncRNA from 11 species